UACAGAGGUCUCAAGCGUUGUUCGGAUUCAUUGGGCGUAAAGGGUGUGUAGGUGGCGCCGUAAGUCGGGUGUGAAAUUUCGGAGCUUAACUCCGAAACUGCAUUCGAUACUGCGGUGCUUGAGGACUGGAGAGGAGACUGGAAUUCAUGGUGUAGCAGUGAAAUGCGUAGAGAUCAUGAGGAAGACCAGUGGCGAAGGCGGGUCUCUGGACAGUUCUUGACGCUGAGGCGCGAAAGCUAGGGGAGCAAACGGG
rnacentral:rRNA from 1 species